UCCUUUACUUCAAAGCCUUUGAACAACUGUUAGAACUGGCUGCCUCCUGCAGUGGCCACUGCCAGCCUGAGAUCUCUGCUGCCAGACACACACAUCUCUCCUUCAGCCAUUCUGCUCCUGGGAACGUGCCGUCACCAUGGAGCAUCGCUGUGGUCUAAUCACUGUCAACAAGCAGA